ensembl:lncRNA
GUAUUAUUGGGUUUUAUUAGCUCUCAUUUUUCUCUCUUGUACCUCAGAUGACAUGAGAGAGUUGCAGCUCAACAUGGGAGGGACUCUGGCAGGAAUCCACCGAACACAGGGCGAGAUGGAGGGCGUGUGGCGCAGCCGUCCCACUGAGCUCAAAAUGGUCCCAGAUGGGCUGUGACAGGUUUGACGGGUGGCUGCAGAUCUCCGGUGUCAGUGUUUCCAGGGGGAGGAUUAUUUUGGGCUUCUGGAAACUCAUCUCAUCCUACGCAGAGGACGGACAGAGACCUCUUUCCACAAACACUCUCUUUAGCCGUCCAAAAACAGCCGAGCAAACAGAAAUGUUAAUGAAUCAGUCAGCUUCAGUUUGAGCCGGCGAUUCUACAGCUGCAGGAAGGUAAAUAAAUAAACCCAGUCUCAGCGUUCA